UGCAUAUUUACAAUGAUAUUGUCUGUUUUCAAGGCAGUAAAUAUUGUGUUUUCUUUUUCUUUCUUUUUUUUUUCACCUAACUUGGUUUCAGUUAAGGUUGAUUUUGAGGGAGCUGGUUUAACAUCAAAGCUUUCCUCACCUAAAGACAUGCUCUGCCUCUCUACCUCUCUACCAGGGUACAGAGACAUGCUAACUUAAGGACACAGAGAUCUUCAAGGGCAACAGAGAAGCACCACCCACCUGGGACCUGGCUUUGCAACACGUCUCUCAGAGAUGCUGAUGGUUAGGAGCUCCCACAUGCCAGGCGAGGCAGCGGGGAGCGAUCAGGAAGCGCGUGCUUUCUCCUGGACCUGGAGCCGAGAUCCUCUGCAGGAGCAUCAACCCCGAUCGCAGAGAUCCCCAUGGUGGGCUGCAGCCGCUGAGAGCCACAGGCUGCUCGGUUUGGAGCAAAACCAUGAAAAAUUGAAACUACGUGAAAACCGAAGAGGCGUCCCUCCUAGGAAGGGUGGGAAGGCCCUGAGCUUGCAGACGUUUAUGCACAGACGCAGCUUCGCGCGUGCGAGCGGUCCCCGCACGCCCUCGGACGUCGGCAGGCUCCAGACCCGCGGUCAUGAUUCGUGAGCAGGAGUGAGGAAAGCGGCGGUGCGAAGAGGAGCUACUCCUGGGCCUGCUGAAGUCAGGGAGCACCUGCCUGCCGCAGGAACGAAAACGAGGCCUGAGACACUGACCCGAAAAUGGAUUUGCCUCCCAUGGUGACCCAAACACACUUUUUCCAAGAGGAAAAACGGUGAAACCACUUUAAAAAAGAACCUCAAAUAGAUCUUCAAAAUAGGUCUCCCGAAGGAAAUACUUGAACGUCGAGUGUCAACCCCAAGGACAUUUUGAUGUUCCUAUAAACUCUCUAAAACAGGGUUUGUUGCCUGUCAAGGCUCUCCGCUCUGUUAUGGAAAAGCUGAGCCAGCUUUGCAGUAGCGGCGCAGACGAGCCUCCGCAGCGAAAACGCCUCUGCGACGGCGACGCUCCCCCGUGCCAUUUCCGAGAAGGCUUCAGCGCUCCCGAGCUCCCCAGCCAGGCUCCGCCGGGCGAUGGCCAAAGCGCCAGCGCUGUCGUUUCCGCGAGGGCUUUAUAGACUGUGACCGGCUUCUCCCCGGGGACGGACCAGGCUGCGGGUCACCCUGUUUCUGGGACGUGGGAAUCCCAUCGGGAAGAUGAACAUAACCAGGGAGGGCUGAGAAGGUGAUAGAUGCACGUAAACAGCAACGGGGGGAUUUUGUCUGCAAAACGCUGCCUGGCGGACCCUAGUGCAAACACUGCGCAGCGUUCGCUGUUGCUGCAAUUUCUUCUGCGUGCCUUAAAUGCCUGGUCUUAAAAAGUCAGGACGAGACUGCCCUCGGAGGCAGACUGAGCUCCACCAAAAUCUACUUCACUUUUUUAACACCUUUUUUUUUUUUUUUAAUUAUUUUUCACACUCGGAGUGAUACCUCCUGUAAAUCCCAGAAAGAGCCGAGAAAGGUCCAGGCAAUGCCACGUGCCGGGGUCCGGCGCCGGAGCGACGGGUUAUCCCGGAGGCUCCGCCGUCCCCUGCACCCGCGCAGCCCAGCUGGUUUUAAUUAAUCGCCUU
rnacentral:lncRNA from 1 species